UCCCUGGCAGUCCAGUGGUUAGGACUCAGCACUUCCACUGCUGGGGCCCGGGUUCAAUCCCUGGUCAGGGAA